CAAUAGCGUAUAUUAAAGUUGUUGCAGUUAAAAGCUCGUAGUUGGAUUUCUGGUGGGAGCAUUCGGUCCGUUCCGCAAGGAAUGCGCACUGGUAAUGCCUCCGGCCACUUUUGUGUCGAACGUUUCUGUCAUUAAGUUGUCGGGGAUGGGAGAUGCAUCAUUUACUGUGAAAAAUUAGAGUGUUUAAAGCAGGCAAUCGCUGUGAAUACAUUAGCAUGGAAUAAUAAGAUAGGACUUUGGUGCUAUUUUGUUGGUUUGCACACCAAGGUAAUGAUUAACAGGGACAGUUGGGGGUAUUCGUAUUUAGAUGUCAGAGGUGAAAUUCUUGGAUUUUCGAAAGACGAACUUCUGCGAAAGCAUUUACCAAGGAUGUUUUCAUUAAUCAAGAACGAAAGUUAGGGGAUCGAAGACGAUCAGAU
rnacentral:rRNA from 1 species